CCUACGGGAGGCAGCAGUGAGGAAUAUUGGUCAAUGGCCGAGAGUCUGAACCAGCCAAGUCGCGUGAGGGAAGAAUGCCCUAUGGGUUGUAAACCUCUUUUGUCUGGGAGUAAAGUCUUCCACGUGUGGGAGUUGGUCUGUACCAUAAGAAUAAGGAUCGGCUAACUCCGUGCCAGCAGCCGCGGUAAUACGGAGGAGCCGAGCGUUAUCCGGAUUUAUUGGGUUUAAAGGGCGCGGAGGGGGAUUUUUAAGUCAGUUGUGAAAGUCUGGGGCCCAACCGCAAAACUGCAGUUGAAACUGGUAGUCUUGAGUGCAGGAGAGGUAGGCGGAAUUCGUGGUGUAGCGGUGAAAUGCGUAGAUAUCACGAAGAACUCCGAUGGCGAAGGCAGCUUACUGGACUGCAACUGACACUGAGGCACGAAAGCGUGGGUAGCAAACAGGAUUAGAUACCCGGGUAGUC
rnacentral:rRNA from 1 species